rnacentral:tRNA from 1 species
GCCUCAGUGGCUCAAUCAGUUAAGCAUCUGACUUCAGCUCAGGUCGUGAUCUUGCCAUUUUGAGUUCAAGCCUCUCCUUGGGCU